CAGUGUCAGCAAGUUAGGCAUAAAGUCAAAUAAGUAGCGAAUGAAAUGAGAUUGUAUUGGAUAAUGGAUUAAAUUGGAGGAGAUUUAUUGGAAGUUCUGAGAUCCAGAACCAGUUUAAGAAAAAAAUACCAGCUACAAAAACUGAAAUGAUUUGAGAUGAACUUAUGAAAACUGUCAUUACAAUUUGAAUCUUCUUGCCAGGACAGUAGAGUCAAUUUCAAAUAGAUUAUUUUGUAAACGCAGUUAUCCCACAUAAUUUUCACAAACGGAGCAAUGUGUGUAUAGUCGAGGUCAAAUAUAUGUUUAAUUUUUCGCCUUAUUACCUACAAAGGAUCAAGGUGCAAAAGUGUACCUAAACAUAUAUUACUGUACUAUGUACGAUACCAGCUUAGAAGCGUUGCCACGAAUUUUGCAAAUCAAGCAACUUUUGUCACACUACAACAAAAUUUGUACAUGUUCUACUGCGAUGAUACUUGCUCUGUACUUCCAAUUAAUCUAUUCUAAUGUGUAUAUAAUGAGAUUAAUGAGAAUCGAAUUUAUCAAGGCGUGUGCUGUGCAAUGUGAGGAUUUGUAUUGGAUUAAUCUAUGGUUAAGUGUUUGGACGGUCGUAAGGUUGACCUAAAGUUGCUGGCGACUCUAGAUAGAUAACAUCGGUGCUGAUGGUUACUAUACAUGGUAUACGUAUCCGUAGUUUGUUCCUUUUCACUGAGGUUGCAAAAGUCUUCGCAUCUCAGUGGUAAUCACACGUGCGUACUGAAGGAUUUUUUGUAGCGUUUUACGUGAAACUACGGAUGUGUAAACGGCGUGUAACCCGGAUAGGCCUUGAAAGAAUAGCAUAGUAUCACUGCUGCAUUGGUCACUUGCUAUCGUCUCUAAAGGGCUACCGCGAACAUCUGAAUUCAAAAAUGGUCUGUCUUAGGGGUUUCUAAACUUCGGCCUGCAGAACGGAAGUGGGGCAGCCGAACAGAAUCAGUCAUAUUAUAAGCUUUAGCUGUCACGAAGUAUACCGCAGUUGCAGUUCAGUUCUCGUGUCAACGCGUCAACCGCUUUUCUAUCUGCAUCUCUAUAAAAUACUAGCCAUAAGUGCCAUUAGUACUCCAAAUUUUAGGUACCUACAUCACAUCAAACAGUACAUACCUACAUUAACCGAUUUGCAAGACCGAAGUGAUUCCAUAAGAGCUUCGCGAACAGUUUUGUGCGGAGCUCUAAAAAUUGAGCCAAUAGCGAUAGAGAUUCAGAAAAAUGAUUUCGAGUUUCGACGUUCGCGGUAGCCUUUUCCAAGAGAGAAGGUGGUGAGUCAAUGAUAAAUGCUAUCAUGUUGUUGGUGUAAUGUUGGUGUUGGUGGAUAAAUUUGCACAUAACUGCUUUUUAGAUUUUAAAAACUGACCACUGCCAAGUAUUUAUAACUUUUCGUGAACACAAAAUUUGUUUGUUUGAACAUAACGUGGCUUAGUAUCAGAGAAUGGAACAUUGUUAUGAAAGUAACAUUUUACCCACGUGGCGGCUUAAUUUGCACAAUAGAUUAAGAGAUCAUGUUAAAUAAGUUAAUUAUUUUUGUCCUAAACAAAACUUGUUCAGUGGUUUUGUAUUUAGCUCCACAGUGCACUAUCAUUAUUUAGCUACCUUGAUAACUGCCUGCAACUGUAAAUGUAAUAUAACUUAUACCAAUUACUUAAUUGAUUGUGUGUAAUUAUAUAUAAUUAUGUUAUUUAUAGUUCUUUAUUUGUAUGUAUAUAGUUAAUUAUACGUUACAUUAAACAAUUGCGAAUA